GUGCUCGCUUCAGCAGCACAUACACUAAAAUUGGAAUGAUACAAAGAUUACCAUGGCCCCUGCGCAAGGAUAACAAACACACUUGUGAACUGUUCCAUAUUUUU
rfam:Otolemur garnettii contig166706, whole genome shotgun sequence.